AUCCCAUCGAACAGCAAGAGGUCCCAACUUUUAAAACACUUAUAAGUAGGAAACCUCUUCUCCUUUCUCUUCCCCUUCAAGGAGUACUAAACGAGUUUCCAGGAUGGACUAAGCCUACUGGAGCCCAUGUGCCCAUGUGUCUGUGUCCACGGGGAUGAGCUGAGCCUGUGUCCCCACUUGUCUCUGCUGCCUGUUGUUAGCAAGAAAUUGCCUGCAGCACAUCCUGUAAAGACAUCCUAAUUUCUCUUCUCUCAACCUGUGAGACCUCAGCACUGGACCAUGUGACAAGUGGUGAAACUCAGGCAUAUUACAUGGUAGGCUUGGAAUCCUGCUGUCUUGACCCUCUCCAAGGCUCUUUGGACUAAACCUUCCCAUUAAGGAGCAGACCCCUAGCUGCAACCCCACAUUUCUCUUCCAUUCAAUGACCUAGGUGUCAGCUGGACCCAGCCAAAGGAUGCCUGGCAAGCAGAGUGACAAUAAGCAGUAUCUCAGUGCAGCACAGCAAAGUGAGAGGAGAGCUUGGCAGAUGGGUAAAGUGGGAGUGGGGCUGGUGUACUGAUCCCUUCAGUGUCCAAGAGCUGGCAGGCAGCUGUUUGCCUGAUGGAAACCAAGAGAGAUUUUUUUCUUAUUUUUUUAAAGGCAUAACUGUUGGCUAAUGAAAUUAUCAUUUAAAACUACUCCUACUGCUCCUGCCAGUGCUGCUCUCAGUGCUGCUACAAUUACCGCUCCUAACAAUAUUAAUCUUCAUUUUCUGAUCACAUUCUUGUAUUUUUACUACAUCAGGAUAGUUAUUGUGCUUUGAAAUAGCGUACUUCAUCAAGACAAUGUUUUUUUUUUUCAUUUGGUUAACAUGUGUUUCUCUUUGAUUAAUAACUGUGCAAACUAUGUCUUACAUAAAAAUUUUAAUUUCAUGAAUGGUGUCAGUCCUCUCCUUAUCUAUCCUGAUAUGCUAAUAGA